rnacentral:piRNA from 1 species
UGACAUUUGUCAAAGAAGUUGCCUUGGUC